AUAUGCAAAUAGACGCGACAAUAUGAACCACAAUGAAAUCUUGUUACUUUUUACGUUUCAAAUGCAAAGAAGUCCCGCCAAAUUGUUAGCUCUCCGGCAGUUUAUCUUCGUUCUUGGUCUCGCCGAUUGUUGAUUUAGGCAAAUUCGUAUUUAAGCCAGUGCAAGUUCCAGUGCCAGUGGAAAACUUUGGGGAUACCACCCCACCCGUGAAUCCAUAGAAUAUAUGUAUGUAUAUUCAGGAUGCGGGCUACCCCUUUUUUCGUCAACUUGGCCCAAACAAUGUUCACAGAAUUUGCGUGUCCGUCUUGGGAUAGUCAUAAAAUAACAACAAUAGAAAUAAUAAACAAGGCUACAGUUGUCGCUCAAUAAAGACUACAGGCUAAAAAUUGAAAAUCUAUAAGAUUAAGGCUUAUUUAGUAUUUAAUAGAUUCCCUGUUUGAAUUUUUAGUGAUCAGCUAUCGAUACUGACUGCCACUGUUUGUGCUAAAUAGUGAUCUGAUAUCGAUACUUUUUAAUUGGCAAUUCCAAUAUCAAGUAUCGAUUAGAAGUCACUUAUCGUAUUAUAUUAGGUAUUGCUCAUCUCUAGAAUGCCUAAGUUGGGGAAGUACACACUAAGUUUCGAUAACUUUUUCUUCAAAGGAAAAUUAAGCGAAAUAUCACUAGAAAACUUCACAUAGCUUCUAAUGGAAUGGAUUAUAAAGCUAUCUAGAGGGUACACAUUGAGGAUCAAAGAUACUGAUGGCUGAUCUAAAGGAAUACGUGGAAUUACAAACAUUAAGGUGGAAUAUGGACAAUCGAAAGGGCGUUCUAGUCACACAAACAUCACACGUAGCUCUAGGAAUCAGAAAAUUAUCUGCUGAAGAGGUCCUGGAUCUAAGAAGACUAAGGUGAAGCUGCAAAUAUCAACUCUCUUCGACAAAAAAGCUCUACGAAUGGCACAGAAGAUGACUUCCAAGACCGAGACCUAGUUGGAUCAAAUUGUAUCAGGGAUUAAAAAGAUUGAGCUUGCAUCGAAGAAAAGUAAAUAGAAGAGAGUCUCAGUCCAACUCACCUGUUCUAUUUCCAAGCCAAUGACACGGAUUUCGACUUGGAAGGGUCUAUGUUAG